AUAUAUUGUAAAAUGUCUAAUGGUUAUGAAGAUCACAUGGCUGAAGAUUGCAGGGAUGAUAUUGGUAGAACAAACUUAAUUGUGAACUACCUCCCUCAGAACAUGACGCAAGAUGAAUUACGGAGUCUAUUUAGCAGUAUUGGCGAAGUUGAAUCUGCAAAACUUAUUCGGGACAAAGUUGCAGGACACAGCUUAGGCUAUGGCUUUGUGAACUACGUUACCGCAAAAGAUGCUGAAAGAGCAAUAAACACACUGAAUGGCCUCAGACUUCAGUCAAAAACUAUCAAGGUUUCUUAUGCUCGUCCAAGUUCUGAAGUUAUCAAGGAUGCUAAUUUAUAUAUUAGUGGACUACCAAGGUCGAUGACACAAAAAGAUGUAGAAGACAUGUUCUCACGUUUUGGACGCAUUAUCAACUCACGUGUGCUUGUGGAUCAAACUACAGGUUUGUCCAGAGGGGUCGCAUUUAUCCGGUUUGACAAAAGGUCAGAAGCAGAAGAGGCAAUUACAAAUUUCAAUGGUCACAAACCCCCAGGUUCCUCCGAACCCAUUACAGUGAAGUUUGCAGCCAAUCCUAACCAGAACAAAAAUGUGGCACUGUUAUCGCAGCUGUGUCAUUCACCAGCUAGACGGUUUGGAGGGCCAGUGCAUCACCAGGCGCAAAGAUUCAGGCCUUCAGCCCAGGACAAGCGUAGCGAUUUAUCAGAUCAGCUGAAUUGCAGUAGGAGCCCGCUCAACUCAUUGAAUUGGAUUAUUGUUGUGCAAUUUGGAAUUUGGUAUUUUUUUCAGAAGAAUCUGGACUGUGUUCAUGAGUAGUUACUCCACUAAAGAUUUUGUUACUUGUAGCCUUAUUAGAAAGGUGGAAUUAAAAGAAGGCGCAUGAUUUCCUUUUUAUUUUUCAGGAAAAAAAUGUUGUUCUCUCUGUCUUACGGUGUUCGUCCUGAUUAAACCAAAAAGCAAGCCCAGCUACACUAUUACUCAGAAAUGUCUGUUGAAGACAGCUCUUGGGAAGAAGAAAUCCAUCGGUCUUCAGGUCAGGCAGGGUACGCUGGUUCCUUUAGGAGGAACCUUCAUCUGAUGUAGGAUAAGGCAUCCUGAUGUCGUGGCCACAGGGGAGGUUGUGCAAAGUCACCUUUUUAAGAAAGGCUGAGGAAAAGCCAUGUCCUCUCAGCUGGAAAGAACCCGUAUGCUGCUGUCGGCUCGGAACACUCUGUAUUCAAGUCUUAGUCCCUUUUUUCACCCACGCAAAUUUUCAAACUUUUGAUCAAUUGAAAUUGGCUCCUCCUGAUUUUCAGCAGCUGCCUUGCUGUGUUCUUCAGUCACAGAAAUGAUCGGUCUCUUUUCAGAGCUGGGCUAGUUAUCAUACCUUUGAGGUGUUGGUUCUGAUUUUUCCCUUAAUGACUUACCUGUGAAAAGGGAUGUAAAAUAAGAAAAAAGUAGUCUCUUGUAUAUGAUAACAUGGAAUGGAUGGCGAUGCUCUUUUUUCAAAAGGAAACCAAAAGAUUUAGUGCAGACCUGUUAACCCCCACUUGGAGUUUCUGUUUUUUGCAGAAUUCCCAAUAAAUGCCUGGCUUUAGACUCUUCCCUCACUUGCUCUGUUGUGGGGACUGUUGGGGUGUCACCCCCUUCAUUUCCAGAAUACUAGGGUAGAAAAAAAAUAAGGGGGGGGAGGGGGUGGGGGGAAGGUGUUAAAUUAUGCUGAUUUCCAUCUUACUGGUACAUCAGCAAGCAAGGCAGAAAAAAAUGUCAUCCUGUCUUUGUGUUUUUUCCUGUAUCUCCAAUCUUUAAAAAGCAACAUGGAAAAAUAUUAAUAUUGGGAAUGUCCUCCUGGGUCACGUUAAUGUAAAAAAAACCCAAUGAGGGUUUUGUCUCCAGCAGUGGCAGCAAGAGCAGCUAUUUAAGGAAAGGACAUUAAGCCUGGCCACCAUCCCCUCUUCAUUCCCCUCGUGCUUCCCCAGCACACACAGCAGUUGGAUGUUAGAGGGGCCCUGCCUGUUCCCCUCAUACCUCUUCUCCUUUUGCUUCUUGGUUUUUGAAUCUACUUUACUUUUCCUUACACUGUCUUCUGCUUUCAUCACUUGCUGACAGCAGGAGACUGGAAGAAAAAGUGGAACGUUUGGGGUAACUUUUUUACAUGUGUGUGUUACCCGUGUGCAGUUGAAUGAAGGUGAAUAAAUAGCAGCGUUCCACUCUUCACACUGUGAUAUGUUUUCUUUGUUUAUUUCCUUUUAAAGGAUUUAUGGAUAGAAGCAGUGAACUUAGCAAAAUGGGAAAUCUGAAUCUAGUUUGUCAGAACAUAAGAUCUGUGUUUUAACUGUGACAAAUUUUAUUGCAGAAAAAAAAUAUUUGCCAAUAGAUUUUUUUUUUUUUUGCCAGAAGUUAUUUGUUUGAAUUGUGAGCAUAGGACAUACAGCUUUAAAUGUUGAACUUUUCAAAAUGGAUUGACCUCUCUGCAGAGCUGUAGGUGGAGCACUUACUCUCAAGAAUAUGUCCUCAAACUAGAAAUUACAAGGAAAUUCACUGAGUUUAAUAAAAAUUAGUUUGGGGCUUCCUGUGUAGGUAUCAGUGGACCUCUUAAUCUUACUUUAACUGAAAUUCUGUUUGAAUGUGUUGGAACAGAUUCCGCCCCCGAGUGCAUGCUGCAGCCAGCGUAGCAUUCAGCCCGUGUGUGCUACAAAGAAAGAUGAUAAAGGAGAGAGCAAAGCAGCAAUGGGCUUAGGAGCACUGUUGAGUCAGCAUAAACGGUGCUGAGCUGCUUCCUUCUCGUAGACUUCGGUAGGCUCCAGCUCAGGGAUCAGGGAAGGAGCGUGCGCUCGCGCUUGUGGGAUUUCCAGGCUGCAUUGCAGGUGCAGCCAUGGUAAGUAAGCGUGCGUGCUUCUCUAGAGUCAUGGCACAAACAGUUACGGUCUCGAUCUAACCAGACUUCCAAAAUUUGGGAUGAAACGUUUUUGUGACCAUACAUCCUACUUCACCUUUCUGUCCCAGAUGGUUCCUGCUGCUUUGCAUCUUCCAAGAGACGCAGUACACGUACACGUGUAUCCCUGUGCGUGCAUGUGUGUAUGACAACGUAUGUAGACUCUAUUUAUAGAUACUUUGUUUAGAAUCCAUGUGUCUAUCUGUUAAUUGUCUGUAUUAGCAUUGUGUGUCUGCUGUGUUGCGCAUAUAUGCUAUUCCACAUGCCUACACAGUAUGGAAGUAAUUAAUACAAAGAUGGAUAUCCUUAAAAAUCCAAGUUUUAUAUAAAACUUUAUAAGGUAUUGUUAAAAACAGUACAGUAAUAUGAUGAGCAAGCUAUGGAAGUUUAAGAAAAUUAAUCUCCCGCUGGAUGAAAAUUUAACAUCCAAAUUUUUAUCAAGUUUCUCUUGAAAUAACUCUAGAAAAUGGCCACAUCUAUAUAUUAUAUCUUAAUAUUUCUCAGCAGUGGUCCUGAAAUGCACAAUAUCACUGCUUUUCAGGGAGCACCUCCCAUUCGUUUCUCCCUGUGACACAAAAUGCCAUCACUUCUUUGGCAGUCGGUGACUUGUGAAAUAAUUUUCCUUUUGGUUUAAGCCACCUUUACUACUUUUUUUUUUUUUUUUUCCCCCUUUCUGUUUUGACCAUAUUUCAUGGGCCUUAAUAUUUUAAUCCUUUCUUACUGCAGGAGUGGAGGAAGGAAGACAAUUCAGCUUCGAGAAGGACUGUGAUUCUAGUGAAAUGGCAGUGACUGACGGCGUAUGCCAUGGCACACAGCUUGGUUGCCUGGGGUGCAUCCCCAGGCCCUACUCCCUCCACCCCUAUCACUGGAUUCCAGGACAGACAUCCUGGCUGCUUGUGCUAGCUUAGGUAAAACACAUGGAAGCCUUGCCCAAGUGUCUUAAGUGCUUCUUUUCUGCAACAAGGCAAAGUUAAGGUUUGAGCUGCGACACAUUUUGAUGUCUUUGUCUCGGUCAGUCACUCAGCUAGCUUGUAAGGAUUUGCACCGGUUGUUUUAUCGCAGCGUCUCCAGUGCUGUGAUAGUUCCUAGGGAGCGUUCUGCCCGUCCUUAUUUGCGUUCUGUGUUAUUUACACGCAGUAAUUCUCAAAGGCAGUGCAAGAGAUGCAGGGCGAGGUGGAGUCUUGUUCUGAACCUUUGUGCUUUCCCCUUGGUCUGGGUGUACAGCAUGCUCAGCUGGGCAUGUUGGAGCCUCGCGUGCUGUUGGACUGCCGGUGGCCUUGAGGGAGGAAUGUUUGCCCUGAAUUUGGCCUCUCCACGUUCAUAAAAAAAAAAAAAAAAAAAAAAGUACUGACCUUACAGAAGAACAGCUCUAAUAUCCGCUGCAUGGAAUCUGAUUUCCCAAGAUACACGCUGGGUUUGGGUAAGGGAAUAAUGCAAGCUGGCCAUAUCCAGGAAGGAACAAAAAGGGAAAAGGACAAGGUUGGGGUUUUUUUGUUGAAUUAGUGAGAUUAAGCAGCCUGACGUAAUUUGUGAAACAGCUUUGCAGAGAGUAACUCGGUGACGGUCUCGUAGCUGCUGGGUGUUAAAUGCGGCAGACGGAGGGUGUCUGUGUAGGAGCAUUAGCAGCAGCGCUCCGUGUCGGUGUGGGGCAGCGAGCUGUUCCAGUGGGAAAUCCAAGUCAUUUCACUUGUUUGCUCCGUGGGGCAAGUGGGCAGCGUCUAAAUUGUAAGUAAACAUUUCAUUGUCCAGAUCAAAGGAGGAAAAGAUCUGUGUUGCCCUAACAAGAAUGAGGAUGACAGGGUUUUGCUCAGAAGCGUUUGGCUUUUGUAGUAGAUGUGCUAGAAUGGGAUCAUCUCGCCUGCUGGCCAGUGCUGCUGCAGCUGCUGCUGCUGCUGGAGCUGUGCUGUCAGCUGGGCUUCUUGUUGGAGCUAGCUGAACGAGAAAUUCCUUCCAGUGGCCACACUUCCGUACUGUUGGCACUCAUAUCUGUGCAAAAGCUUAAUAGAUUAUGAAGAUGAUGCGAUACAGCUUCAGAAAUGUUUUUGUUGUGAGAGAAUUUUAGAUACUGAAGUCCUAAAAACAAAACAAAACAAAAAAACAAUAAUUCUACGCUAUUGUAGAUGUAAGUGAGACUCCAAAGGUGAAUUCUGGAUAUCGCUUUAGGUCAUGGUGUAGCUAUAAAUGCUCUCAAUUUCCAGCAUCUUACACCAGCCCUCCACGAUCAUCUGAUUUGUACUGGUAAAACUGUUGGUAGGAUUUACUUAAACUGGCAGCACGGGAGGGGGGAAGCUCAGAGUGGCCAGUUAGUGAUUUCUCUCACUUCCAAACAGGCUGGAGCAGGAGAGAAGCUGCUUGGAUGUCUCGCUCCCAGGUGCGGUGUGCGAAGGGCUCACGUGGGAACAGGUAGAAGGGCUCAAGCCUUUUGCUGUGCUGGUAGUUUUCAACAGAGCCAUCCUGCUUUUCUCAUUCUGACAACGAACCGGUUGAGUGGUUUGGUGGAUUUCUAGCUGGGGACUGGAAGCGAGUGUGACAUGUAAGUGGAGGCUAUAGCGAAAUGAAUCAUGCACACAGAGAAACCUGUUGAACAGGCAAAAUUUUCAACUUCGAACAGCUUAGCACCUCUCUAGAGUAAAGUUAGUGAUGGCAUCGCAGUGGUAACAGGCACGGUUUGCUGUCCAGAGCCAGCCAGGGUGUUGGGGUGCUCAUCACCGAAUUAAUGUCCUUGUCAGAAUUGCCUCUGUAAGACUGGCUUGGAGCAGCGUGUUCCUGAUGGAGUUGCAGAUGAAAACCAGAGGCUGUCCCUUGGGUGGGGGGCGCAGGGGCUCGUGUAGCUGAUGGAGCACCUUGCUGUGGGUGCUGCCAGGGAGCGUCGGGCAUUCAUCCAGCCCCUGUGGCCAGAGACCUGCUGAGCCGAGGCAGUUCUGUCUGUCCAUGACUCCUCGUAGCUGUGUCAGCGGAGGCACCUAAGCCUGAAUUCUUCAUUACAAAACAGGGUGUUGUUACGAGACCGGUUUUCUUUGUUGGGGCACCAGGGUGCCGGUGUGUCUUGUCCCCAGCCACAGCCUCGUUCAGAGGAGCUGGAAUUACGUGGAUGCAGGGGCAGCGGUGGAUGUCCUCGGUGGGUUGGAAGGCAGCUGCAGUCCUCCUCAGGCUUUCCGAUUUGUUGUUGGGUUGGUUUUUUUUCCACUCUUCCUCCUGAAUGUGGUUUUUUUAUUGCUAUUUGAGUACUUUGAAGUCCGAUGGCUAUCACAGUUACUCUCUUUGUAUGAUGAUGGUGAGUGGUAGUUGUAUAUCCAGCUGUCAGGGCAUUCCAGACACCUUUCUGUCGGUGCUUUUCUUAAAAUAAAAACAUUUUCUACGGGGCUGUAAAGUCUACGCCAUUCAAAUUCCUCACUGAGCUGCACCUUGUUACACUAGCAAGAACGUAUAGAAGCUCUCAGAAAAUUCAGAACGUCAAACAGGCGUGAGCUUUGUUCUUCAGAUUGCACUACUACUUAAAGAAAUGGUCAAACUUUUACAUAUCUUUGUAAAAUAAGGCUGCUGCUGUGUACUUUGCUUCCAUUUUCAUUAGACCCCUUUCUCAGCUUCCAGAAGUUGAUGCUGUAGUUUGGAAGGCCAGGACUGUAGAGCCUAAGAUUUAAGGGGGGUGGGGUAGGUGUCAACAUUUUUCUUACAAACAGAACCCAUGCAAAUGAAGAAAUAAUCAAAGUUAGGAACAUACCGCUUGUAAAUUAGGGAAGGUAGAACUUACUAGCUUGCGUAACUGAAAUGCUGAGCCCUUGCAUUGUGCAUUUUGAGUAUUCUACGUGUUCAUAGACUAGUUUUGUUAUUUUGGUUUGCCUUUUACUUUGCAUCACUCUUAAUUCCAUUCUAGAGAACUUUGGUUCAGUAAGGAGCUUAAUACGCUUAAGUCAGUGACACCUAAGAGCUGCAAGCAAAGGGAUAAUGAAAGCAUAUACCUUGUUUUUUAUCCUGGGGUUAGAGUACAGGACAGUAGUUUUCAUUUUACACCAGUGAAUUUGAAUAGUAAAGUAAUGAUGCUAGGCUCUUACCGUCUUUUUACUUUUUCUACCAGAGUCUCCUUAUGUAGCAUAAGACAAGCUACUCGAUUCUUCUGAUUUUACUCCUCUUCUGACCCGUUAGGUACCAUCAUCUGAUUUUUUUAAUCCCUAUCUUUCAGAGUACGUGUGUGGGUUAAUUGUUACAGUCUCUUCUAGCACUUUGAACUUAAUAUUUUAGUUGCAUAAUGUUUGGUCAUUAGAAUAACACAGUUAUCCAGGUUAUCCCUGUCUGCUAAGCCAGUGUAUCCAACACUAAAUAGCUAGUCGUACACACCCUGUUCCCAGCCUAGGUCUAGAGGCACGGGGAGCAACUGCAUCUUGUGUUUUCUCCAGUAACAUAAUUUUUACUAGCUGUCUCCCCAGAUGGAGAGCAGCACAUUGCAGCCCGGUUGUGUUGGUCUUGCUAGUGCACUUGAUAUUCCUUGUGGGGAUGUGCUAAAGAAAAAUAGUCAGGAGCCCAGAGCUCUUGCUUGUGUAUUGGGAGGUGAGAAAAAAGUUCUUGGGAGGACACCUCUUCUGGUGGGACUCGGGGAAGAGCUGUGUGUUUGGAUGCACUGAGGACGGGAUGGGGAAAGGAGGAGGGGAUUUAGUUGGUUUGUGUCUGCCUGUUUACAGGGUUCUUGUAUGUUUCUCUGGUUGUUUUAUAUAUUUUUAUAUUUAUAUUUAUAUAUGGGUGGGGGGGGUGGGGUGUGUGUGCACCUUUCUCUGUACAUCUGGUCUGGUGCUGUAGAGAGGCAAGAACUGGCAGACUGAAAAUGCCCCAGUACAGCGAGGAGCUUGUGGUGUUCAACCUUGAGCAGCGUGACUCAGCUGGUUAUUUCUGUUGCCUGAUGCCUAGCUGUGUCACAACUGUGAGACUUAAUUUGGCUCCUGCUUACUGAGCUGCUGCUUUUGCUAGAUCAUAAGGGGAAAGGGAGGUUUUGCGAUUGCAGAUUUGGAAGGUGAAAUUAUGCAGGUCCCUAGGUGAACCAAGUGUCUUACCUGUUCUCUGCAUGUAUUUUUUGUAUCUGGUUGAAAAAGCAAGGGUGUUGAAUGAGUACAAAGAGAUCUCUGCUUUUGUAAAUCUAGUUAUGCACAAGUGAGUAGUUGUUACUUGCAGAGGAUAUGUACAAAUGUUUUAUUUCCUACUGAAGAGUUCACGUAUUGGAAAUGAAAAUUGGUGCUCAGGUUGCAAGAAAACACAAUCUUGAAGAGCAGGUAAUAACUGAAUAAUAGAUGACUGGAUGCAGGCAUCCUCUUGGGAAGAAUCACCGAGAUAUAAGCAGCAGAAACUAACAAUUAAAGGUCAGGAUUGGCGUUCUGUUGGCAUGAGGAGGAGAAUGAUGAGGAAUUUAGCCUGCCUACAGCUGUGAGAUCAGCAGCGGAUGUCUGCUGGGCUGUAAGUGCAAAGAGCAUUCGUUCUGCCUGUCUCCAACAAUUGCAGCCUAUCAAAGCAAAUAACUGUUGGAGGGUUUGGCGUUUGGAGGAUGGACAAAAAGACAGCAAAAUGGAGUUAAGAUGUGGAAAGACAGUAUACUGAAGGGGGGGGUUGUGAUACUGCUGUUAUUAAUACUUUAGCACGAGAGUGUGGUUUAAGGUGAUGCUUUGCAGAUGAUUGAAGACUUCAGGAGUAUUGAAAGGGAAGCAAGGAGAAUGGCCAGAUACCCAUUUUGUUGUGGUUCCGCUCAAGGAAGGACAGUGAGUAGAAGAUCUCUGAGGUGAGAUGGCCAGGUAAGUGAAGCAGCGAGUUUUGGAUUGGGUGUAAUGUUUCAACCCUGUCAUUCUUUCCUCUCUGUGUCAAGCUAUGGUUUGGGUAGUCCGUGUCUCAAAAUCAAAGCCAAAAUCUGGUCUUGCAGAGUUUGAAGGCUCAGCAUUCUAAAAAUAAAUACCUCUGCUCAGCCAUGUAUUUUAGAGUGGGAUUCAUCCUCUGGACUCAAGCAAUUAAAAAUCUUGGCGCCCAGUCCAAGCCCAUCAGUAAGAGACUUCAGAAGACAAUUCAACGGCCGCUAAAAUGUAUGAGAUUUACUCUGGUGGAGGUGCCUGUCUCUCACUGCUGACCACAGGGGACUUCACUUGUGUAUGUUAAAUGAGACGCAUAACUUCUAGAAAACCAAGGUAAGUGUACAUUGCACGCCUGGCGCCAGGACAUCUGCGCUUGCACAAGACUAGCUGACUCCUGACACGGAUUUUGGAGCAUCUCACCCAGGGAUGUUACAGCAUCCUUCCCAUGCUGAACACCUGGGCGGUUUGCACAUGGAGAAUGUCAAAACACGGUGAGAUGCAACAUGGUACAGAAUUGCCCAGACUUGUUAAGAGCCAAGCUAAUGAGUCCGUCAGACACCUCUGCGCUGUGUUUGGCGCUUAGCUGAGGAGUAAUGCGCUCUGCUGGGUGCUCUGCACGGUGGUGGUAUGUCUCGACAGGAAUCCUGAGUGCCCAGCAAAGCUGCAGAUGCAUUUGAACGCUAGAUAAAGAAUUUCUAAAGUAGAGCCGAACGUUUGUUGUGAACGGGUUGCAAAUGAUGCUGUGAACGCGGGCAUUCCCGUGCCGUGUCUUAUUUUGCUGUCGUCCCACUGCAACUUCAGUGGGAUCUACUGAGUUGGGUGGCAGUGGGGAGGAAGCACCUGCCUGCAGUAAGGGCUGAAACGGUUUAUUCUAGAAUGUUUUAGCAUCACAGCAGACAAAAUGAGAAGUUCCUUAAGGAAAUAAGUAUGUACAGUGAAUCGUAAGAGAAGAGGCAAUGACAGACAACUCCCAGCACACAUUCAGUAGGGAGCCAUUUAGUGUAGGUUACAUACUGCUAAUUUAAAGAAGAAAAAAAAAAAAAAAAAAAAAGCUAGUUAAGCCAUAUAUAUCACUUAGAGCUGCUUUGGAAGUCUGACUUUACAGAGGAACCUGGUGUUUUAAUAGAUUUAAAUAAAGACUUUGAAAACUUCUUGUGGAAUGGAAUUUUCAAAAAGUUAUUCUAGAAAACUUGCACGGAGUAAUUUUGCCACGGCUAGUAUUUUAAAUUAAAAAUUGGUAGGUUUGGGCCUUUUUUCACAUGUUGUUUUGAUUUUAUUUUGCCACGUGCUACAAUACAGUUGUUUUGUUCUUUUUUUUCAGUUUCAAUAAAACACAAACCGAGGUACUUUUUUAAUCUGAAAGAAAGGAAGGUAGCAGUGCGCUCUACUGACUGUAUAGCUCUUCAGAUGUUGCUGUGCUACACUGUACUAUGGUUUAUACAUCCUAAAAAAGAUGUACAAAUCGUAUUAAAGUGAAAAUCCCUGAUCAAAACUUACCACUUCUAGAAAUUCAGAUAUGUAAAAAUAAUUCGUGCUCUGGAAGACAUCUCGUAGCACAGAAAAGAACACGUUCUUGAAGAUCAAGGCAACUUAAAACCUGGACUGCAGAAACACGCUGGUGUCUCCUGCGGGAGGCAAACCCUCGGGCUCAGGGGUCAGUUUGCUGCAAAUUCAUUUAAGUUUAGUGUUUAUGCGGAGCCACAUCCUCAAGUUCCACCAAAACCACUGGGGAAAUGUCAUUCCCUCAUCAAAGCUCGUAUGGCUAAACAGGUGGGUUUUCUGCCAGGCGUUGGGAGGUACUGUGAUAAACCCCAUCAUAAACCAUUGGGGCGGGAGGGAUGAGCUGGGAUGCUGCAGGGAGCUUGUCUCUUAAAAUGCGGUUGGUUAUAUUUCUUUUUUGCAAUAUCAUAACUGCACCUGUUGAAGAAUAGUUGGAUGCUGAUGGUUAAGAAGGUAUCAAAAAACCCAGGAGGGAAGGAUAAGAAAGGUCAGAGUUAGCAGCGGUACCUGCCGCUUACCUUGGCCAUGAUUCUGAUUUUUUGAAGGCUUUUGGAAGUGAAUGGAAGACUACUCAUUUUUGUGCAAAAGCUGGUUUAUGAUAUUUAACAACUUCUGCUUUUCAUUUGGCAAAAGUGGAAUUACCUUUUCUUCUGAGUUAGAAGAUAUUUUAAAACCUCCGGCUCCAGCAUGAAAGGAUCAUGCACAGGAAAUUUUUUUCUUUAUGUGCAAUUGGAGAGUAGUUAAAUGAUGUUAGUGGGAGUUUUAAGCUGCUUCCACGAGUCCUAAUGCUGCGGCAGUAAAGACAAAGCAGGAGGGACAAAAGGGAUGAGAUGGCAUUUUGAGAGAGAAAUUAAUCCAGUGACAUGAAUUGUUGGGACAAAAGGCUUUUGUGGAGAAAGCUGCCCUGGGAAGCCUGGAUUUUAAGGCUGUAAUUGGAAUUUUAACUUGGGGACAGAUCCUUAGCUGGGGAAAAUCUCCACUGUUGCAAUUGGGCCAGGUCAAUUAGUUUCAGUGUAAUCAGAGGGCCAGUAAAAACCCGCGUGCAGCUGGUCCUUCCACCCCUGCGGGUACAGUGGCUCUCGCUGUCCGCGCCGGGAGCCGAAGACUUGGACCAGCUGUGCCGGCUUUGUGGAACGGCUGGAAAAGCCAGUUCUGUCCAACCUGAACUUUGAGCUCUAGAGAAAACGUCGCUUAAUUUUAGUUUUUAGAUGAGAACCUAGUAAUAAUAAAAAAAGCAAGUAUCUUCUUUUUUAAAAUCUAUAAUAAAGAAAGUGGAACCUUACGGAGUGCAGCCUGGCCAGCAGAUAGGGGCUGCUGACCUAAGGUGUCAGAUUUUGUCCCAUCUCUACCGCUUUCUCAUCUCGUCCAAUUUUCCAGUACCUGCUCAGCUCCCUAACCUUUGAGAAGAACGGAGCUUGAAGAAACGUGAGGCAUAAAGCCCUCAGCUCCCUGCCAGGGCAGCUGGGUCCUCGGCUGCGGGGAGGAGCUGGUCCCUUCCCCCUGCACACAGGGGCUCCUCGGGGGCGUCCUGGCACGUCCCACGGUCUGCAAAGGAUGGAGAGGGGUUUUCCAUUCUUUAUGCCAAGUAAGGCCUUUAUCUUGCAGAGCAAUGUCAGCGUUUAGCACCAAGAUCCCGUUCCCGGGAGCAGGACCGGUGUGACCUACACCUGACAGAUGUUGUACUGAGCUCCUGUCUGAUCAAACAAACUUUCUUCGAUCAUCUCGAUCACAUUGUCUUUGGGAUGCAGAUGGGAGCUCUCUGCCGAAGGAGACUUGUCCGUCUUGCUUACUGUAUCCUGCUGCAAAAAGAAAAAAGUAGUUUUAAUUUCUUAAGCGAGCCUGUGUGGGGUGUCUGUGCAGUCCUUCUGCGUUCCCCUGCUCCCCCGGACAAGCUGUACGUACCGUGGGGGUCUUCGGGGCAAAGUCUUUCUCGCAGACGUGUGCUAUGAUGCCAGCAGCCAGAGCAUCACCGAGGACGUUGGUCAUAGUUCGGAAUCGAUCCCUGGAGGAGAGAGAGCUAUGAGGAUGCAGUUGGUGGCCACGGCUGAUGCGCCCAGGAUCUUUUAUGGCUUUGAAAUAUGUCAUAGAAUUGUGGUUUGGGUUGGAAGGGGCCUGGAAGCCCACCCAGUUUCAGCCCCCUGCCAUGGGCAGGGACACCCCCCACCAGCCCAGGUUGCUCCCAGCCCCAUCCAGCCUGGCCUUGGGCACUGCCAGGGAUGGGGCACCCCCAGCUGCUCUGGACAGUCUGUGCCAGCAUCUCACCCCCCUCACAGUGACAAUUCUCUCCCUAAUAUCUCCUCUAAAUCGACCUUCUUUUAGUUUAAAGCCAUUCCCCCUUGUCAACCUUUAUCCCUAAUGUCUCAGCCACUGGUUUUGCGAAGGGCAGGUGGAGGUGGCUGCGUUAUUGCUCCUGCAGUGCGGAGGGACAGCGGCACGUGCGAUGGCUGCAGGGCCGGGUACCACGGGGCGCCUUCUCAGUGCAUAGACCUGCCUCUUCUACCUCCCAAACUGAUGCUGGUGUCAUUUUUGCUCAGCGUGGGGAUGAGCUGCCGCACCAACUCGUAAAACUCCUUGAGAAGCUCUUGCUGGCGCAGCCGCAGCACCACCGUUGGCCCCCGGCACAGGGAUGCCAGUGGCGUGGGUGCCCCGUGGUGAUCACCGAUGGAGCUGACCCUGUGCUCUGAUGUUACAGCUCUCCCCUGGGAAGUUAAGCUUCCUUUUAUAUGGAAGAAAGAGAAAAGCAGCCGGGACGCUCGCUGUUUCUCUGCCCAGAGUGGCUGUGAAGUGCCAGCCAGCCCCCCACAUCUCAGCUAUGGAGAACUCGGUGUUUACUCCGGUUUUUCACCAAGCUGAUUUGCUUUGUUUUUAUCCUAGUACUUCAAAACGGCAAAUUUCCAUCUGUCUGGCUUCUCUUUGUCGGUGACAAAUGUAACGAACCAUCCGUUUCUAUCUCAAGAUCAAUCUGGUCUUCAUCCAGCAAGAUGAAGAUGGUCUGCUUGGAAGGAAUAAUAUUCCACCAAAACAAGUACUGUACCGUCCACUUGGCUUUGGCUUUUGUGGAGUCCAUCCUCCUUUGCUGACAGAGUGGACCAGAGCUUGGAGAAGACCAGGACUGGAGGUAUUUUUAGGGAAUACGCUAAUGAGCAGCCUUGCAUAGUAAUGCUUCGGGAAAAGACCAGGCGCCUACUUUCCUCCUUUUCUACCACUCGCUAUGGAGGAAAGCAGCGUUCUUUUGAUUUCUCAAAAAUAUAAACAUCUCUUAGGUUUUGUUACUUGUUUGAGACCUCCAACAAAGAUGUGUUGUGUACAGUUGGAUAGGAAUUUAGAUGAAAGAUCAGGACAAGCCGGGAUUUUAGACUGGGGACCGACCUUGAGAGGGUGGCUGAACGCCAUCGCCACAUCCAGCCCGUACGAGGCACCGGGCAGCACCCUGGGACAGAAGCACCUCGGGGCAAACACUCCUCCAGGAGAUGUAGUUAUCAGGGGCUAUUUCAAGAAAAUAAUUGGAAAAUGAAGAAAGACUCUCACACUCGGCUCCUGGCCUGGUUCUGUGACCCCUCGGUCUCCGUUUGCCCCCAUGAGAGCUGCUUCGGACGUGUCAUCACGAAGCGGUGCUGAGCACCUGCCCGUACCUGCCUCCCGAGAACACUUACAGCGCCCAGUCCACUGCGAUGAUGAGGGUGAUGUCAUCAGUCGGCAGCCCCACAGAAGAGACACUUCAGGGUGAUGGGCAAGGUUGCGGAGCUGCGGAACAAGGAGCGGUCAGUCAAUUCCUGCUGCUUGCGCCGGGCUUCACGGACGGGAGGCAACGCGAUGGUGCAGGGAUAGGAGUUCUCCUGCCGCACAGAGACCUGAGCUGUCACGCAGGAGCCAGGACAAGGACGGGGAGGAAGAAGACCCAGUGGGAGGAAGGAAACGAGUGUGGAGAAGAAGCUGAUGGGAGAUGGGGACAGCUUUUCCGAAAGGAGCUGGCUGGAGAGCGGGAUGCAACUGCCCCUGCCGUGGGGCUGGGCUGGGGGCACAGCUCCCCCCACCCGUGUCGGUGUGGGGCAGAGACCCUGGUGGAGCCGGAGCCCCAAGCUCAGCCCAGAGCAGGCAGGGGCACCCGCAGCGGUGGGUGCCGGGGGAGGUGGGCACCGCCGGGGGAGUUUGUUGGGGUUACAUGAAGAACCGACAUUGGAGAGGCCAGAAGAACCCUGCGGAGGCAAAUGUUUUCUAAGAAAAUGUUUCGGUUUGUGUGUGUCUCCCAGAAAGGUCCGUAGUUCCUAAUGUAAAUUUUCUUCAUUGUUAUAAAGAAUGUUUUUCAAGGAAAAUUAAAUAGAUAAAAAUAA